UUAUAGAGCAUUAAGAGCAUACGGAGGAUGGCUCGACCAAAUGUGCCGAUGAAGGACGUAGCAAUCUGCGAUAAGCUUCGGGGAGGUGAUAAGCAACCUUUGAUCCGGAGAUGUCCGAAUGGGGAAACCCCAUGCGGGGAAUGCCGCAUGACCUUGCCCUGAACACAUAGGGGUAAGGAGGGUACCUGGCGAAGUGAAACAUCUCAGUAGCCAGAGGAAAAGAAAAAGAUCACUCGCUUCGUUUGUGUGGUUCCCAAGGAUCGGGGACGAUACAGACGGAAGUGAGACCAUUCCCUUAGUAGUGGCGAACGAACGGGGAACAGUCUAAACGCAUGACGUGAAACCAAUGAUGAAGUUUCUCUUCGGAGACGCGGACUUACUGGUGAAAGGUGAAGGCCGUUGCGCCAUGCGCGUUGUAGGGGAAACCAUGCUUCAGCCUUUGAUGGAGCGUGCGAUCGAUGGCUUCUAGCACAAUCUGCUGGAACGCAGAACCAAAGAAGGUGACAGUCCUGUAUGCGAAAGAGGUUCAUCGACGCAAGCGUUUCUUCCUGAGUACUACGGGACACGUGAAAUCCUGUAGGAAUCCGGCGCGACUAUGUGCCAAGACUAAACACGCAUUUGGAUCGAUAGUGAACCAGUACCGUGAGGGAAAGCUGAAAAGCACCCCGAGAGGGGAAUGAAAUAGUAUCUGAAACCGUAUGCUUACAAGGAGUCGGAGUCCCUCCGUAGCCCGCAAGGGUGAAGGGGGAUGACGGCGUUCCUAUUGAAGAAU
rfam:Parcubacteria (Thrbacteria) bacterium GW2011_GWC2_53_7 TY82_C0010, whole genome shotgun sequence.